rnacentral:tRNA from 1 species
GGAGAUGUAGCACAAUGGCGGUGCAACGGAUUGUCUAUCCGAAGGCUGCGGGUUCGAGUCCCGUCAUUUCCG